rnacentral:ncRNA from 2 species
GUAUAAUGUGCGGGUUUUGGUGCCCGCAUGUCUGUUCAGACCUGCAGUUAAACGGGAAACACGAAGCCAUAAAAGCCAACGUGUGCUGCCCCCGCAACGGUAAGCAAGCGUCGCCGCUGUACGCGACACAUCACCUCUUAUAACCACUGUGCCGAGGCAUGGGAAGGUAAGGUGGUUCCACUUGUUAGCCCGGAUACCGGCCAAACCAGGUGGAAGCGG